UACGAAGGGGGCUAGCGUUGCUCGGAAUCACUGGGCGUAAAGGGUGCGUAGGCGGGUCUUUAAGUCAGGGGUGAAAUCCUGGAGCUCAACUCCAGAACUGCCUUUGAUACUGAAGAUCUUGAGUGCGGGAGAGGUGAGUGGAACUGCGAGUGUAGAGGUGAAAUUCGUAGAUAUUCGCAAGAACACCAGUGGCGAAGGCGGCUGACUGGUCCGGUUCUGACGCUGAGGCGCGAAAGCGUGGGGAGCAAACAGG
rnacentral:rRNA from 1 species